rnacentral:rRNA from 1 species
CCUACGGGCGGCAGCAGUGGGGAAUAUUGGUCAAUGGGCGAAACCCUGAACCAGCCAAGCCGCGUGGAGGAUGACGGUCUUCGGGUUUUUAAAUCCUUUUGUUCGAGGAGCUAAUGACGGUAUCUAACGAAUUAGCACCGGCUCACUCCGUGCCAGCAGCCGCGGUCCUACGGAGGGUGCACGCGUUUAUCGGAAUCACGGGGCGUAAAGGGCGCGUAGGCGGGUUAGCAAGUCAGAUGUGAAAUACUAGGGCUUAACCAUAGAACUGCAGUUGAAACUGUUCUUCGAGAGUAUGGGAGAGGUAGGUGGAAUGCGUGGUGUAGGGGUAAAAUGCGUAGAGAUCAAGAGGAAUACUCAGUGCGAAGGCGACCUGCUAGAACAUAACUGACGCUGAGGCGCGAAAGCGUGGGGAUCAAACAGGAUUAGAUACCCUAGUAGUC